UACGUAGGAGGCAAGCGUUGUCCGGAAUUACUGGGCGUAAAGGGCGCGCAGGCGGCCUGGUAAGUUACUCGUGAAAGCCCCCGGCUAAACCGGGGAGGGUCGAGUGAUACUGUCAGGCUAGAGAGCAGCAGAGGAUAGUAGAAUUCCCGGUGUAGUGGUGAAAUGCGUAGAGAUCGAGAGGAAUACCAGUGGCGAAGGCGGCGAUCUGGGCUGUAUCUGACGAUGAGGCGCGAAGGCUAGGGUAGCAAACAGG
rnacentral:rRNA from 1 species